GGUGAUAGUCCCGUAUAGGUAAAAAUUAAUAUUAUUCUCGAGUAGUGCGGAACACGUGAAAUUUUGUCUGAAUAUGGGGAGACCACUUCCCAAGCCUAAAUACUCCUUGAUGACCGAUAGUGAACUAGUACCGUGAGGGAAAGGUGAAAAGCACCCCGAUAGGGGGAAUGAAAUAGUAUCUGAAACCGAAUGCCUACAAGCAGUCAGAGCUUCCUUGAGAAGUGAUGGCAUACCUUUUGUAUAAUGGGUCAGCGACUUAGUCUGUGCAGCAAGCUUAAGCCGUUAGGUGUAGGCGUAGGGAAACCAAGUCUUAAUAGGGCGUUAGUUGUACGGAUUAGACUCGAAGCGGGAUGAGCUUAAUAUGAGCAGGUUGAAGAUGCAGUAACAUGCAUCGGAGGACCGAACCAGGAAACGUUGAAAUGUUUUUGGAUGACUUGUGUUAAGGGGUGAAAGGCCAACCAAAUUCCGCUAUAGCUAGUUCUCCGCGAAAACUAUUUAGGUAGUGCGUUGUGUGAAUGAUGUUGGGGGUAAAGCACUGGAUGGGCUAGGGGGAAGCAAUUCCUACCAAACCUAACCAAACUCUGAAUACCAAUAUUCUAUGCACAGCAGACAGACUAUAGGUGCUAAGGUCUAUAGUCGAGAGGGAAACAGCCCAGAUCACCAGUUAAGGCCCCCAAAUAAUGGCUAAGUGGGAAAGUAUGUAGAAAGACCAAGACAGGCAGGAGGUUGGCUUAGAAGCAGCCAUCCUUUAAAGAUAGCGUAACAGCUCACUGUUCUAAUUAAGUUUUUCCGCGACGAAGAUGUAACGGGGCUAAAGCCAUUUGCCGAAACUGUGACUUUGUAAUUAUUGCGAUAAUUACAAGGGGUAGCGGAGCGUUCUGUAAGCCGUCGAAGAUGUUUUGAAAAAAAUAUUGGAGGUAUCAGAAGUGCGAAUGCUGACAUGAGUAGCGAUAAAGAGUGUGAGAGCCACUCUCGCCGAAAUCCUAAGGUUUCCUGCGUAAAGUUAAUCUGCGCAGGGUUAGUCGGCCCCUAAGGCGAGGGAGAAAUCCGUAGUCGAUGGGAAACAGGUUAAUAUUCCUGUACCUUCUGAGAGUUGACGGAUUAUGUAAAUAGUAUUUACUUAUUGGAUUGUAAAUGCUGUGAAAUAGUCCCUGGAAAUAGCCUCAGAUUAUAGAUCGUACCUAAACCGACACAGGUAGGAAGGUAGAGUAUACCAAGGCGCUUGAGAGAAUGAUGUUGAAGGAACUCGGCAAAAUGCUCUUGUAACUUCGGAAUAAGAGAGACCAUUAUUUAGGCAACUAAUUAGUGGUGGCACAGAAUAGGGAGAAGCGACUGUUUAUCAAAAACACAGGUCUCUGCUAAGUCGUAAGACGAUGUAUAGGGACUGACGCCUGCCCGGUGCCGGAAGGUUAAAUGGUGGAGUGCAAGCUCUAAAAUGAAGCCCCGGUGAACGGCGGCCGUAACUAUAACGGUCCUAAGGUAGCGAAAUUCCUUGUCAGGUAAGUUCUGACCCGCAUGAAUGGCGUAACGAUUUCUCCGCUGUCUCCAACAUCAACUCAGCGAAAUUGAAUUCUCCGUGAAGAUGCGGAGUUCCCGUGGUUAGACGGAAAGACCCC
rnacentral:rRNA from 1 species